AGUCUAUGAUGUGGGAAUAUUCACAUCAUCUCCUUGAAUUACUCUCAUGCUUCAAAAAAUGAUUUACCACCCUUCUGCCUAAAGGAUGUGAUUUGGUUCCUAAGUUG